rnacentral:tRNA from 2 species
GGGUCUGUAGCUCAGUUGGUCAGAGCGCACCCCUGAUAAGGGUGAGGUCGGAAGUUCAAGUCUUCCCAGACCCACCA